GAUGAACGCUAGCUACAGGCUUAACACAUGCAAGUCGAGGGACCGGCGCACGGGUGAGUAACACGUAUCCAACCUGCCCUUUACUCGGGGAUAGCCUUUCGACAGCAAGAUUAAUACCCGAUGUACUGGCUGGGGAUGCGUUCCCUUAGGUUGUUGGUGAGGUAACGGCUCACCAAGCCUUCGAUGGUUAGGGGUUCGGAGAGGAAGGUCCCCCACAUUGGAACUGAGACACGGUCCAAACUCCUACGGGAGGCAGCAGUGAGGAAUAUGGGUCAAUGGGCGUUAGCCUGAACCAGCCAAGUAGCGUGAAGGAUGAAGGCUUAUGGGUCGUAAACUUCUUUUAUAUAAGAAUAGGGAGUAUAUGAAUAAGGAUCGGCUAACUCCGUGCCUGCAGCCGCGGUAAUAC
rnacentral:rRNA from 1 species